rnacentral:rRNA from 1 species
AACGAACGCUGGCGGCGUGUCUUAAGCAUGCAAGUCGAGCGGCAAGCGCAGCAAUGCGCCUAGAGCGGCGGACUGGUGAGUAACGCGUGGAUGAUCUACCUAAGGGAUGGGGAUAGCCAUUAGAAAUAGUGGGUAAUACCGAAUACGCUGCCUUGGCCACGGCCAGGGUAGGAAAGGCGCUACGGCGCCACCCCUAGAUGAGUCCGCGUCCCAUUAGCUAGUUGGUGAGGUAACGGCCCACCAAGGCGAUGAUGGGUAGCCGGCCUGAGAGGGUGUACGGCCACACUGGGACUGAGAUACGGCCCAGACUCCUACGGGAGGCAGCAGCUAAGAAUAUUCCGCAAUGGACGAAAGUCUGACGGAGCGACGCCGCGUGGAUGAUGAAGGCCGGAAGGUUGUAAAAUCCUUUUGUCGGGGAAGAAUAAGCGUGGGAGGGAAUGCCCGCGUGAUGACAUGAACCGGCGAAUAAGCCCCGGCUAACUACGUG